GGGACCCUGCGUGGUGGGUAGUUUGACUGGGGCGGUCGCCUCCCAAAUUGUAACGGAGGCGCGCGAAGGUUGGCUCAGAGCGGUCGGAAAUCGCUCGUUGAGUGCAAUGGCAGAAGCCAGCCUGACUGCGAGACUGACAAGUCGAGCAGAGUCGAAAGACGGCCAUAGUGAUCCGGUGGUCCCGAGUGGAAGGGCCAUCGCUCAACGGAUAAAAGGUACGCUGGGGAUAACAGGCUGAUGGUGCCCAAGAGUCCAUAUCGACGGCACCGUUUGGCACCUCGAUGUCGGCUCAUCUCAUCCUGGGGCUGGAGCAGGUCCCAAGGGUACGGCUGUUCGCCGUUUAAAGAGGUACGUGAGCUGGGUUUAGAACGUCGUGAGACAGUUCGGUCCCUAUCUUCCGUGGGUGUAGGAUACUUGAGAAGAGUUGCCCCUAGUACGAGAGGACCGGGGUGAACGAUCCACUGGUGGAUCUGUUGUCGCGCCAGCGGCAGUGCAGAGUAGCUAUGAUCGGACAGGAUAACCGCUGAAGGCAUCUAAGCGGGAAGCCCCCUUCGAAACAAGGUAUCCCUGAGAGCCGAGGUAGACCACCUCGUCGAUAGGCCAGAGAUGUAAGCGCUGUAAGGCGUUCAGUUGACUGGUACUAAUGGCUCGAUAGGCUUGAUUUG
rnacentral:rRNA from 1 species